CAGCCGCCUCCCUCCAACACCUUAUAGGCCUAGCGAACCUACACCCGGCAUGCACCGCGCCGACCUUUUCCUUCCGCGUGACCCCCACCUUCGGCGCCUCCCAAUGACAAACAGCGCGGAGCAUUGUGGUCUCGUGAGCUCGCGCUGCGACGGGAGGGAGGAAGGGGGGGAGGGGAGGGCAGGAAAAAGAAAGCAAAAGACCGGAGGGGGCCGGUUGUGAAGCCUUCGCGCACGCGCACAGGCGGCGGCGGGCAGGGAAAGGGGGCGGGGCGAAGCCUACGGCGAGCAGAGUGGGGCGGGGUCGCACGGCCUUGGCGGGGAGUCCGCGAGCCGGGAGGGGCGGGGUGUGGGUGAGGGAGCGGGCGGAGGAGGAAGUGUCAUGGCGUCGGGCCGUGGAGCUUCUUCUCGUUGGUUCUUCACUCGGGAACAGCUGGAGAACACGCCGAGCCGCCGUUGCGGAAUGGAGGCGGACAAAGAGCUCUCGAACCGCCAGCAGGCGGCCAACCUCAUCCAGGAGAUGGGGCAGCGUCUCAAUGUCUCUCAGCUUACAAUAAACACUGCGAUUGUUUAUAUGCACAGGUUUUAUAUGCACCAUUCUUUCACCAAAUUUAGUAGAAAUAUAAUAUCACCUACUGCAUUAUUUUUGGCUGCAAAAGUAGAAGAACAGGCACGAAAACUUGAACAUGUUAUCAAAGUAGCACAUGCUUGUCUUCAUCCCCUAGAUCCACUGCUGGAUACAAAAUGUGAUGCUUACCUUCAGCAAACUCAAGAACUGGUUUUACUUGAAACUAUAAUGCUACAAACACUAGGUUUUGAAAUCACCAUUGAACACCCACACACAGAUGUAGUGAAAUGUACCCAGUUAGUAAGAGAUCUUUGGGGGAUAGCAAGAAACAUUUGAGUGAAUGUUGUUGAAGAUUUUCAGUAGUAUAGAAAAUGAUGGCGCUCUUGUGAUAUUUCAAGCAAGGAUUUGGCACAGACAUCCUAUUUCAUGGCUACCAACAGGUUGUUAUCCUGACCCUCUUUGUUGCACUGUUGUAGCACACUAUAGCUUCCUUUAAUGCAGGGUCCCCUCAAUGUGUCUCUUACCCUUGUUGCAACAGGAGACUGGACCAUCUACUGUGGUGGUACCUUCCUGUUUGCUUUGCGGUGUAUUGUACAAGGGACUUUGGGCACAGAGGGGUUAAAUGCACAAUGUGAAGUGUAGUGGUGCUUUCUGAUGACAUAUUCUCGAUUUGUGAGUGCAUAAGUCUAAAAUUGGUAGCCUGAAUAGCAGCUAAAGAUUACAAAGAGCUAAACUUAACGUAGAAAUUCGAGCAACUUGUCUGCAUCUUACCACCUUCUGUCUUCAGUACAAACCAACAGUGAUAGCAUGUGUAUGCAUUCAUUUGGCUUGCAAAUGGUCCAAUUGGGAGAUUCCUGUAUCAACUGAUGGAAAGCAUUGGUGGGAAUAUGUGGAUCCCACAGUUACUCUUGAAUUACUAGAUGAGCUAACACAUGAGUUUCUACAAAUAUUGGAGAAAACGCCUAGUAGGUUGAAGAGGAUUCGAAACUGGAGGGCUACUCAGGCGGCUCAGAAACCAAAAGUAGAUGGACAAGUAUCAGAGACACCACUUCUUGGUUCGUCUUUGGUCCAGAAUUCCAUUUUAGUAGAUAGUGUCACUGGUGUGCCUGCAAACCCAAGUUUUCAGAAACCUUCUACAUCAACAUUUCCUCCACCGGUACCUCUAAACUCAGGAAAUGUUUCUGUUCAGGACAGCCGUACAUCUGAUAAUUUGUCAGUGCUGGCAACGGGAAUGCCCAGCACCUCAUAUGGUUUGUCAUCUCACCAAGAAUGGCCUCAGCACCAAGAAUCAUCAAGGACAGAGCCGAUAUAUUCACAGAAACAGGAAGCAUCUUUGUCUAGUAGCCAAUACAACAUCAACUUCCAGCAGGUACCUUCUAUGUCACUGCAUUCAGGGUUACAUCACAGACCUGACAAAAUAUCUGAUCAUUCUUCUGUUAAACAAGAAUAUACUCAUAAAGCAGGGAGCAGUAAACACCAUGGGCCUAUUCCUGCUACUCCUGGAGUAAUUCCUCAUAAAAUGUCUUUAGAUAAAUACAGAGAAAAGCGUAAGCUAGAAACUCUUGAUCUCGAUGUAAGGGAUCAUUAUAUAGCUGCCCAGGUAGAACAGCAACACAAACACAUGCAGUCACAGGCAGCCAGCAGCAGCUCUGUAACUUCUCCCAUUAAAAUGAAAAUUCCCAUCACAAAUACUGAAAAGACUGAAAAAUACAUGGCAGAGAAAAAGGAAAAGAGUGGAUCACUGAAAUUAAGAAUUCCAAUACCACCCACUGAUAAAGGCACCAGUAAAGAGGAACUGAAAAUGAAGAUUAAAGUUUCAUCCUCAGAAAGACACAGCUCUUCUGAUGAAGGCAGUGGGAAGAGCAAGCAUUCAAGCCCGCAUAUUAGCAGAGACCAUAAGGAGAAGCACAAAGAACAUCCUACAAAUCGCCACCAUGCCAGUGGCCACAAGCAUUCCCAUUUGCAUGUUGGCAGCAGCAGUGGCAGUAAACACAGUGCUGAUGGAAUACCACCUACUGUUUUGAGGAGUCCGGUUGGCCUGAGCAGUGAUGGCAUUUCCUCUAGUUCCAGUUCUUCAAGAAAGAAGCUGCAUAUCAAUGAUGCCUCUUACAACCAUCACUCCAAAAUGAGCAAAAGUUCCAAAAGUUCAGGUAGUUCAUCUAGUUCUUCCUCCUCUGUUAAGCAGUAUAUAUCCUCUCACAACUCUGUUUUUAACCAUCCCUUACCCCCUCCUCCCCCUGUCACAUACCAGGUGGGCUACGGACAUCUCAGCACCCUCGUGAAACUGGACAAGAAACCAGUGGAGACCAACGGUCCUGAUGCCAAUCACGAGUACAGUACAAACAGCCAGCAUAUGGACUACAAAGACACAUUCGACAUGCUGGACUCGCUGUUAAGUGCCCAAGGAAUGAAUAUGUAAUCAUUUGUUUAGGUCAAUUUUUCCUUUACCUUUUUUAAUUUAAAAAUUGUUAGGAUGAAAACUUCCUCCUGAUCUAGCAGUGGUAACACAUGCUUUUGCUACCACUGCUUCAAUAUUUGUAAGUGCUGCUUUACUCGUCAUUCUGAAAAGAAGAGAUUAUAGUAAACAAGUCUUUAUCUCCACAUAUGAUAGUGUUAUAAAUACUGUAAAAGCAUGGAAGGUGCAAAACUCAGUAUUUCUACAAUUGCAGCUGAGAACAUUAGGAUGAAUGGCUGGCAAUGCUUCUAGGAAUAUAAGAUGUGUCAAGCAUUCAUUAUUUAUAAUUUGAAUACUGUAGCUUUUUUGUUGUUGCUUGGCUUUUGAAUGAGUGUAAAUUGUUUUCUUUUGUGUAUUUAUAUGUGUAUGUAUGAUUUGCAUGUUUCAAUGAUAAAGGGAUAAAACAGCAUACUGACAACUGUUUACAAGAAAGUGGAGAAAAAUGUACAUACAUUUUUGUAUGUUUAGAUAUUACCAUAAAUACUCAGGAUUGGAGCUGCUUGUAAGUAUAACAAUAUACAGAAUAACUUUAUUUUCUCUUGUCAGAGUCCAUCACUAAUCUAAAAGGUGGCACUUUUUCAUGUUAACCUUAAACUCUAGGCCUUACUGGAAGCCACUGAAGGGGGGACACUUCACUACCAGAUGGGUAUAUAUAGUGCCUCAAGUGGCACUCGAAUUCUGCCUUCAGAGUUUCUGGCCAGAUUGGCUAAUAAAAUAGCCCCUAAUUUUCUGAAGGCUUGAAAAGGAAAAAAAUAAAGUUUACAUACUCUUGAUGUGAAGUGCAUUUAAAUGUUGUUGGCCUGUUACAGUACCAUAAAACAACUGUUAAUGAUGGUUAUGUGGAUUACUGUGAUUUAAAAACUAAAUUUGCAAAAGCAUACAUAGUGAAGAAUUAGUUUUUUCUUUAAAGAACUUAAACACUACAUAUAACAGUAAGCUGAGGUUGCUUCCUUUAGCAUUCACAAUAACACUAUAUUUUUUAAUAUACUCCUCCCCUGAGGUGUGUUUGCAUUGUGAUGCCAUAUUUCUUUUUCAGGUAAAUACAGUCUUCCUUAUAAAAAAUGAAAAUAAACCUAUGCUCUCAAUUCUUUUAUAUUCUAAUAAAUAAAAAUAAAAGAUCACUGACUGUGCAUUGUACCUGUAUUUAUAGCUUAUGGUUGUUAUCAGGAAGCUAUGUUUUUGUCUUUGUUUUUAAAGAAGCCAGCCUCCAGGCAAACCACUAGUGGAGGGUUAUACAUUUGUUUGCACAUCUCAGUAUAUUCCUGUUGAGGUAAAGUUUGCACGGUCAUCUGACUCCUGAUCCAACAAUAGGCUUUAACUUGUGUAAAUUUUGGUUUAAAUGCCAAUAGUAUGGCUCUUGUUUAUCAGUUAAUAUUGAUUUUUUUCUGUGGUAAAUCUUCAAGCUGUUGAGUAUCUAUAAGAUGGGUUAGAUUCAACAUUGGUUGAACUGAAGACUAAUUUUUCCUCUGUGUAUAUGAGCUAUUUUGUUACAAAGCCACUGGUAUGUGCACAAUUGUAAUUUUACUCAAGUAUAUUGUGGUUGUAAAUAUUAGAGGUUUGAACUUGUGAUCUACUUUUAUUUAGCAGUUAAGUUGCUAGUAGCUUUAUAAUUUUUUAAGAUAAUUGUUCAUUAUUUUGUCAAUGUUAUUUGAACUUGACAUACUAGGAGCCUCUUUAUAGGGAUUUUGCCUAGGUAGAUGUCCUCACAUUUGUUCUUGUCUUGCAUAACAUUAGUAAUCUUUGUCAUUAUAUGUAACUUGGUUGCUCUGUGUAGCAUAAUAUUGUAUCCAUAAACAUGGUAAUUUUGAUACAGUUAUACUUUUACCAUGGUACAUAAUCCAAGGACUAGUAUAGAAUUAAGCUGAGUGCAAGAUGAGGGAGGGAAGGGUUUUGUUCUUGGUGAUUUAGAUGUGAAACCUCCGCAGAGCUAUCAUGUAAAACGACAUAGGGUGGUUGUGCUACUGUAUAAUGGGGGGGAGGGGGUAAUACCAGGAAAUUUAAUAAGAUUUUGUAAAGAAUAUCCAUAAAAGUAGUGAAAUUAUUUUCAGUAUGACAUAGAAAACAAUGUGAAUAUUUAAGGUCUGUGACUAUAGUUAAACUUCACUAAGAACUUGCAGAAUUGUUUUGAGAUGUGGGAAUAAAGGUAAUCUUGUUGAAUCUUUAUUGGUGCUAAUGAUGGACAGUUAAAAAAAAGAUAGCUAGUGUAUAUUGUUAUGGUCAGUACUUACUAGUACUUCCAAAACUGAAUUUGAAAUGCUAUGUAUUCACUUUUCACUCUGUAAAUGUAAUUCUUUACAAUGACUAUUUAUUAAAGGGCAGCCAGUUGUGAUUUUCA